rfam:Candidatus Woesebacteria bacterium RIFCSPHIGHO2_01_FTLL_38_9b rifcsphigho2_01_scaffold_38999, whole genome shotgun sequence.
GCCAGGGUAGCUCAGUUGGCAGAGCACAGGAUUCAUAAACCUGCGGUCGUGGGUUCGAUCCCCACCCCUGGCA